UAGGGAAUAUUAGAAAUGGACGAAAGUCUGAUCUAGCAACACCGCGUGUGCGAAGAAGGCCUUCGGGUUGUAAAGCACUUUUUGGAAGGAUUAGGAAGGAAUGUACUUCCAGAAUAAGUCUCGGCUAACUACGUGCCAGCAGCCGCGGUAACACGUAGGAGGCAAACGUUAUCCGGAUUUACUGGGCGUAAAGCGCGUGUAGGUGGUUCUGUAAGUAGGGCGUGAAAGCUCCUGGCUCAACUGGGAGAGACCGUUCUAAACUGCAGAGCUAGAGGAUGGUAGAGAGAGGUGGAAUUCCGGGUGUAGCGGUGGAAUGCGCAGAUAUCCGGAGGAACACCAGUGGCGAAAGCGGCCUCCUGGACCAUUCCUGACACUCAGACGCGAAAGCUAGGGUAACAAACGG
rnacentral:rRNA from 1 species